AUUGAACGCUGGCGGCAGGCCUAACACAUGCAAGUCGAACGAGUGGCGGACGGGUGAGUAAUGUCUGGGAAACUGCCUGAUGGAGGGGGAUAACUACUGGAAACGGUAGCUAAUACCGCAUACCAUCGGAUGUGCCCAGAUGGGAUUAGCUAGUAGGUGGGGUAACGGCUCACCUAGGCGACGAUCCCUAGCUGGUCUGAGAGGAUGACCAGCCACACUGGAACUGGGACACGGUCCAGACUCCUACGGGAGGCAGCAGGGGGGAAGAUUGCACAAUGGGCGCAAGCCUUAUGCAGCCAUGCCGCGGGUAUGAAGAAGGCCCUCGGGUUGUAAAGUACUUUCAGCGGGGAGGCGUUACCCGCAGAAGAAGGACCGGCUAACUCCGUGCCAGCAGCCGCGGUAAUAC
rnacentral:rRNA from 1 species